rnacentral:siRNA from 1 species
UGAACUUCUCGAUAUCCCGCA